rnacentral:rRNA from 1 species
AACGAACGCUGGCGGCGUGGAUAAGACAUGCAAGUCGAACGGGAUUAUUUUUGUAGCAAUACAGAAAUAAUUCAGUGGCGAACGGGUGCGUAACACGUGGGCAAUCUGCCGAAAAGUGGGGGAUAGCUCGCCGAAAGGCGAAUUAAUACCGCAUGUGGUGAGGGACGACAUCUUCCUGAAUCCAAAGCCGGGGCAACCUGGCGCUUUUUGAGGAGCCCGCGGCCUAUCAGCUUGNGGUGAGGUAACGGCUCACCAAGGCUUUGACGGGUAGCUGGUCUGAGAGGACGACCAGUCACACUGGAACUGAGACACGGUCCAGACACCUACGGGUGGCAGCAGUCGAGAAUUUUUCUCAAUGGGGGCAACCCUGAAGGAGCGACGCCGCGUGGAGGAUGAAGGCUUU